rnacentral:rRNA from 1 species
AGAUUGAACGCUGGCGGCGUGCUUAACACAUGCAAGUCGAGCGGUAACGCGGGAGCAAUCCUGGCGACGAGCGGCGAACGGGUGAGUAAUGCUUGGGAAUCUGCCCAUUAGUGGGGAACAACCAGCCGAAAGGUUGGCUAAUACCGCAUACGCCCUACGGGGGAAAGCGGGGGAUCGAAAGACCUCGCGCUAAUGGAUGAGCCCAAGUCGGAUUAGCUUGUUGGUAGGGUAACGGCCUACCAAGGCGACAAUCCGUAGCUGGUCUGAGAGGACGACCAGCCACACUGGGACUGAGACACGGCCCAGACUCCUACGGGAGGCAGCAGUGGGGGAAUAUUGGACAAUGGGGGCAACCCUGAUCCAGCGACGCCGCGUGUGUGAAGAAGGCCUGCGGGUUGUAAAGCACUUUUUAGUGGGGAUGAAAAGCUCAGGGUUAACACCUCUGGGUCUUGACCUAACCCACAGAAAAGCACCGGCUAACUCUGUGCCAGCAGCCGC